GAAAGUAGCGGAAUGAGUGACGCUCAGCCCGAGCUACACGUGCGAAAAAGUCCGUUCGAAAGGGAGAGGAUGAAGGGAGGAUAUUAAAGCCACGGCGCUCGUGUGCGUGCGCGUGGAGUGACCAACCCCACCCCACACCCUCGCGCUGGCAGAAGUCCGCGUGUCGAAGCAGCAUUAAUGACUGAUUAUCGGGGUGAUAGACGCAGAAGGGGACAGGAACGCAGCUUCAGCCGCCAGAUGGUAAAUAGCUGAGGAAAGCAGGAAAAGGGACGAACGGAGAGGGGGGCAAAACGAACGCCGCGCUGAGUCCCAAAGCAGAAGGUUGUGUAGUGAAGGGUGGAGGGCAAGGAAGAGUGGGAUUAGGGGAGUGAAGGGACGUCUGUGAGUUUAACCGGAUUUGAACACAGCCACGCGGGGCGUAAUAGGUCUGUGACAGGCUUUGGUAAUGUCGAACAGAACGGCGGCAGGGAGCUAAUGCCUCUGUAUAUUGCAUUGUAGAAUAAUGCACAAAAGUACAGAAGGCUGGUUUCAAUAGGCCUCAUAACUGCAACAAUACAGGUGAACCAGUAAUGAAUGAGACACGUAGCUUCACGGAAUCGAAAGCGCAAUGGUGCAGAGCACAACACUGCUAAAUGCAAACGCUGGAGGAUCUGAGGUUCGCUUGCUUGAGGAAAGAAGCUGUGAGACCUCACCUGCCAGGGGAACACUAUCCUGCUCAUCAGGACUUUGAAGGCAAAACUGCACAAGAAGGACUACACAGACGUGCAUAGCUCUGCGGCAUCACUGGUAUGCCCACUCUAGCCGUACAGAUCACAGCUGCUCUCUGUUGUGCUUCUACCAUCAAACCUACCCACACCACAGACGGCUGCUGUACCACGGUGGCAGAGAGACCGGCUCCGUGCCAGUCUGAUCCUAGCCCAUGCAUCUGUCAAGCCAUGAAACACCCACCCAUGACAGCCUAACUGCUAAAGCCUGGUUCGUACCUACUGCCGACAUGAGAAACCAUGCCAACCAUGGCUCCGGACUGUCCGCGCCACUUUAUGUUCACAGUUCUUGCACCACCGUCCCUGGCAAGUGCGUGCUUUGACCUCAGAGCUGGUGUGGUGCUGUAGGGCAAAGCAGCACAAGCAGGAAGCCAGAAGCUGCUCUCUCCCGCAUAGCACACCAGCAACAGAAGAAACCGACUCCGAUCACACACUGAUCACACACAGGCAAACAGCAGGUCAAAGGCAACCUUUGCUGAGAUGGGCUGAUCGACGGAGAAGACCGUGGCAUUGUUUUGCAGUUCUGAUAUAACCAGGGGUUUGGGAGAAGAAGAACCUAGAUGUGGUCUACAGCUAAAGAAAGCACUUCACUGGGAAACUUGGGAGCACCAGGCCAAGUGAAGCGAGUGGCAAGUCAUGACCUGUGUGAUGCUGUGCUCUAAGGGGUGUUUACUGAGACUGCACUGGAGCACUUAAUGCCAGUAAAAACUACCCUGCUUCCUAUGAUUUAUUUAGCUUGUAAAUUGGUUGUGAACUUUGUACCAAUCUGUAAUCACUGAUGCACAAUUGUGUGUAUUUGUUUAAUAUGAAUAAAUGAUGAA